AUGGAUUCCGCCUUCAAGGAAUAUUUCGACAAGCUGACUUCCUCGCUGGACAGAAUCCACGCGGAUAUCCGUUCGACGGCGGCCAAAUUGGAGGAUCUGGUCGCCUGGCGCCCGGAGCUGGAACGGCGCGUCGACCGGCUCUCCAUCGCAGUCGCCGAACUCCAACAAGGGCGACCCGCGCCCAAGGCUGCUCCGACACUCGUUCACCUGCGCGACCCGACAGACGACAACAAGGGUCCAGAGGGCGGCAUCGCAUCAGGGCCGAUCGGCCACGGCAUCGACAUCCUACCGCGGGGUCUGGCACCGACGUUCGCGUCGGUGUCCACCCCGGCCAACGGUUAG
rnacentral:rRNA from 1 species